CAUUUCUGCCUCUCUUAUGUAAUUGCAUCUUAGAAGAACAGGUGCAGCUGGAGGGAUUGUCUUCAAAUUAGGAGAACAUACUUGGAGUAAUCUGAAGUACAAUAUAAACUCUAUAUAUUUACUACAUUUAUUUGCAGGAAACUCUCGGUGGGGGAGGAAAGACACAACAGAGAUGAGCAGACGUCGUGUAAGCUGCUUGUGGCAAAUAAACAUGGAGUCUACCCUGUCACCCAGGAGCACAAUCUCUGCUCACUAUAACAUUCGCCUUCUGGGUUCAAGUGAUUCUCCAGCCUCAGCCUCCUGA
rnacentral:lncRNA from 13 species